GAAGGCACCGGUGCCACUAGUCCCUGACCUCUCCCUCAGACAAGUUGCAAAUGAAAACUGAGGGGGUGGAGUAGCUAUGGAAACCAGGAGGGAAGGAUUUUUUUGUUUAAAUGCAUAUGAAUUAGAACAAAAUGACUGGCAUCCCUUUUGCUUUUUCCAUCUGUGACAAAAAUUCUGUGUCCUGGUUUCUACCUUCACUUAAGAGUAAAUUAUGGGGGAAAGAACAUCAUGAAGACCUGCUAUUGCACAGUGUCAUUUCCUCUUUCUAUGUUUCUGUGGAUUAAUUUUAAAGCCAUUUGAUAGAAUUAAUCAUAUAAGCCAGUCCCACUUUCCCUGCAAAUGUCUACCUUCAUGCAGGUGGUUUUGUAGAAAGGAGCUUCUCCAAUAAAGAAGAGCUUCUCUUUCAAUUCCAUGGACAUUGGAGAGAGUCCCUUUCAAAAUAAGGAGGCUCAGGUCUGGAGAGACAAAGGCCUCUACUUUCUCAAAGGCCUCUUGGACCAAGUCCAGACCUUCAUGAGAGCUGACAACAUGUCUAGCCUGCACUACUGCAAGAACUUCUUGGUCUAUGGUAGUGUGGCCAACUGAAGAAGCCGGCUUAGUUUCUCCAGUCAGGUGCUCACACUAAGAAAGGUUGGAUGGAGGUUAUAAAGUGGCUGUGAAUGAGAAUUUGAUCUGGGCUCUACCAAGGAGAGAAGCCAUGCAGAGAUAAGCUUGAAAGGCAUGAAACCAUGUUAAGCAGAAAAAUAAAAAUUCAUAACAGAA